rnacentral:rRNA from 1 species
UACGUAGGGGGCGAGCGUUGUCCGAAGUUACUGGGCGUAAAGCGCGUGUAGGCGGGUCUUUAAGUGAGGGGUGAAAGGUUUGGGCUUAACCCAGACACUGCCUUUCAUACUGGAGACCUUGAGUGCGGGAGAGGCGAGUGGAAUGGUCGGUGUAGCGGUGAAAUGCGUAGAUAUCGAUCGGAACACCCAUGGCGAAGGCAGCUCGCUGGGACGGUACUGACGCUAAGGGCGCGAAAAGCGUGGGGGAGCGAACAGG